GAUUCUGGCUCAGGAUGAACGCUAGCUACAGGCUUAACACAUGAAAGUCGAGGGGAAACGAUAUUGGAAGCUUGCUUCCGAUAGGCGUCGACCGGCGCACGGGUGAGUAACGCGUAUCCAACCUGCCCACCACUUGGGGAUAACCUUGCGAAAGUAAGACUAAUACCCAAUGAUAUCUCUAGAAGACAUCUGAAGGAGAUUAAAGAUUUAUCGGUGAUGGAUGGGGAUGCGUCUGAUUAG
rnacentral:rRNA from 1 species